CUCCUGGAAACGGGUGGUAAUGCCGGAUGCUCCGCCCCCUCGCAUGGGGGGUCGGGAAGGCUUUUGCGGAAUGGGAUGGGGUCGCGUCCUAUCAGCUUGUUGGCGGGGCGACGGCCCACUAAGGCUUCGACGGGUAGCCGGCCUGAGAGGGCGACCGGCCACAUUGGGACUGAGAUACGGCCCAGACUCCUACGGGAGGCAGCAGUGGGGAAUAUUGCACAAUGGGGGGAACCCUGAUGCAGCGACGCCGCGUGCGGGAUGGAGGCCUUCGGGUCGUGAACCGCUUUUGAUUGGGAGCAAGCGUGAGUGAGUGUACCUUUCGAAUAAGCACCGGCUAACUACGUGCCAGCAGCCGCGGUAAUACGUAGGGUGCAAGCGUUGUCCGGAAUCAUUGGGCGUAAAGGGCUCGUAGGCGGUUCGUCGCGUCCGGUGUGAAAGCCCAUCGCUUAACGGUGGGUCUGCGCCGGGUACGGGCGGGCUUGAGUGCGGCAGGGGAGGCUGGAAUUCCCGGUGUAACGGUGGAAUGUGUAGAUAUCGGGAAGAACACC
rnacentral:rRNA from 1 species